UACGUAGGGGCAAGCGUUGUCCGGAUUAUUGGCGUAAAGAGCGUGUAGGCGGCUAGGUAGGUCCGUUGUGAAAACUCGAGGCUCAACCUCGAGACGCCGGUGGAAACCAUCUAGCUAGAGUCCGGAAGAGGAGAGUGGAAUUCCUGGUGUAGCGGUGAAAUGCGCAGAUAUCAGGAAGAACACCAGCGGCGAAGGCGGCGCUCUGGGCUGGAACUGACGCUGAGGAGCGAAGCGUGGGAGCGAACAGG
rnacentral:rRNA from 1 species